GACUCUUGUCUAUGGAUCAAUCUGGUCCUGCUUCUAUGAAGAACGCAACGAGCUGCUAGAAUUGUUGUAAAUUGCCGGACCGGUUCAUCAUCAAUACGGCAAACGCUCAUUGCGGCCCCCCGGAGUUCCUGACCGUGCCUCGCCAUGUCUGAAGUGUGC
rnacentral:rRNA from 1 species